GGCCGGUAGAUGAAGAAACUGUUUUGCCCGAUAUGAUCUUGAACAGAUUAAUAACUGAUUGUGCUUGUGCGGAGAAGAUGAACGGAAGUUGCGUGAUGAUCCAUGUUAUUGUCCUCGAUUUUUUUUCUGGUAUUUAUGUUUUUGUUUCCCUUGUUUGAUUAGUUUGAGUUAUGCAUUGUAAUGGUGUUUGUUUUUUGUGAUGAUGAUGGUGAGCUCAUUUGUUUUUGGAGAUUUUUCUUAUGGUGAAUAUAUCCAAAUCGUGAUUUGUUUGAUCGUUUCUUUUCUUUGUAACUGGAUAGAAUGGUCACUACACCCUCAACAAAUACCCACAUUUACAAAUAUUUUUGAAAUCUGCAUGAGUACCUAAUUACCGUAUAUAGUUUGUAUAUUCACCUAAAUGAGCCUAUCUUGGGAAUCUUCCUCUUCUCUUGAUUAUUUCUUCUUAUUGUUCUUCACUAGGUUAAACCCAAGUCAUCUAUGUUCUCGGUUUCUUCUUCCUAGUAUUUUUCUAUGUUCUUGUCCGCUCAGUUCUGUACUUCUUCGUCAAUUUCAUCAAAAUCCUAUCAUUCCUCAAAUGUGUUUCAUCCUCUAAAUUCUUAAAACCUUAACUUUUUAAAAGUUACUUUUCAAAUUAUAAUUUGUUCUAGAGGUCGAUUUUGAUGAAAUCGUCACCAUAUCGACAUCAAGCUUAAAAACAUUUCGAAAAGUUCAUUGUUAAAGGCUUAUCUUUACCGAUAUAUUUUAUAUGGUUUUUGAUUCAUAUGGUGACAGAUUGAUGUCGAUAUCCGACUCACAUACAUGUGAAAGAAGACGGACCAAAGAGAAGGUAUAUAUUGAGAGAAACAAUUUACAUAUCCAUCCCUCGUUUCAUGUUUUGUCUAGCCUGCUUCGCAUAGAGACAGCAUACAGGCCAGGUCUUGCUGUGGAGAUGAUGAAAGUGAUGUUUCAACCUAGACGUUAAAUCCGCGGAGAUAGACGCAGAAUUUGGACAAGAUCAUCUUGGAGGCUAUUACCAACUUGAAAGAGCCACGCGGUUCUGACAGAACUUCAAUCUUUAGGUAUAUAGUGAUAAAACACAAGUACAGGUUUUCUACUAAUUUUACUAGCGCAGGAGCAAGGCAGAAGUCUCCUCAACUCUGUUUAAAAGGAACAACAAAAAUGACUAACCAAAACCCAACGAAAAGGGUGCCAAUUUCUCACCAGGUCAAGAUCAGAGGGAGAGUUAUUUAUGAUAAAACGCAUGACAGGACAAGAAGCUGCAGAAACCGCUGCAAGAGCAGUAGCAGAGGCAGAAUUUGGAAUCACAGAGGCUGAAGAAGCAGCAAAAGAGGUGGAUAGAGCAGAAGCAGAAGCUGAAGCUGCUCAAAUAUAUGCAAAGGCAGCUGUCAAAUUUUUGAAGUUCAGGAUCAGUAAUCAUACUAAAAAAGAAGCCAUUAUGGGAAAGUUCAACAACAGAGCAAUCCCUAUAUAUAUUCAUACCAUUACCAGUUUCUUAUUUCAAGAGUUUAGAUCUUGAAUCAUGUGAUUAUCUCAUCACCUGCAGAACUCAAAAUCUUUCAGUACCUAUGUACUCUCUUUUUUUUGUCUGUAGUAAAUCCGUAGUUUGAUCCUAUGAUUCAUAACUCUGAGAUUCUGUAAAACCUGAGUCUUUAUUUUUCUGUUUGUAGAUGAUCUGCUUAUUUUCUGUUUUAAUUCUUUCACAUUGUGCA